rnacentral:rRNA from 1 species
UACGUAGGGUGCGAGCGUUAAUCGGAAUUACUGGGCGUAAAGCGUGCGCAGGCGGUUCGUUGUGUCCGUCGUGAAAGCCCCGGGCUUAACCUGGGAACUGCGAUGGAAACUAGCGGGCUGGAGUGUGGCAGAGGGGGGUGGGAAUUCCACGUGUAGCAGUGAAAUGCGUAGAGAUGUGGAGGAACACCGAUGGCGAAGGCAGCCCCCUGGGGCUAACACUGACGCUCAUGCACGAAAGCGUGGGGAGCAAACAGG